rnacentral:rRNA from 1 species
AGCGAACGCUGGCGGCUGGCCUAACACAUGCAAGUCGAGCGGCCGUAGCAAUACGGCAGCGGCAGACGGGAGAGUAACACGUGGGAACGCGCCCUUCGGUUCGGGAUAACUCAGGGAAACUUGGGCUAAUACCGGAUACGCCCUUACGGGGAAAGAUUUAUUGCCGAAGGAACGGCCCGCGUCCGAUUAGCUUGUUGGUGAGGUAACGGCUCACCAAGGCGACGAUCGGUAGCUGGUCUGAGAGGAUGACCAGCCUCACUGGGACUGAGACACGGCCCAGACUCCUACGGGAGGCAGCAGUGGGGAAUAUUGGACAGUGGGCGCAAGCCUGAUCCAGCCAUGCCGCGUGGGUGAUGAAGGCCCUAGGGUUGUAAAGCCCUUUCAGCGGGGAAGAUAAUGACGGUACCCGCAGAAGAAGCCCCGGCUAACUUCGUGCCAGCCGCCGCAGUAACAC